UUAUCAAAAACAUGGUUUCUUGUAAUUAUUUAGGAGAUCUGACCUGCCCACUGAAAAUAUUUUAAAGGGCCGCAGUAUUUUGACUGUGCAAAGGUAGCAUAAUCAUUAGUCUUUUAAUUGAAGGCUGGUAUGAAUGGUUGGAUGAGGUAAAUUCUGUUUUAUGUUAAUUGGUGUUGAAUUUAGAUUUUAAGUAAAAAUACUUAAAUGUUAUUAAGGGACGAGAAGACCCUAUAGAGUUUAAUAAGUUUAAUAAUUAAUUGAGUUAAAGCUUAAUUUUUGGUUUUUAUGUAAUUUAUUUAAUUGGGGUGAUUGGAAGAUAAAAUAAACUCUUCUUUAUAUUUAAUAAGUUAAUUAGUUGUAUGAUCCAUAUUUAAUGAUUAAAAGAUUAAAUUACCUUAGGGAUAACAGCAUAAUUCUUUUUAAGAGUUCAUAUCGAAAAAAGAGAUUGUGACCUCGAUGUUGGAUUAAGAUUAGUUAUGGGUGCAGAUGUUCAAUAACUAGGUCUGUUCGACCUUGAAAAUCUUACAUGAUCUGAGUUCAAACC
rnacentral:rRNA from 1 species